rnacentral:RNase_MRP_RNA from 10 species
CUUCGCAGCGCACAAACGAGGAGCUUGCUCCUGGCAAUGCUGCGGGGAAAGUCCCCGUGCCAAUGGGCAGAGAGUGCCAGCAGGAGGCUGCAGGAUUUGGGCUUUGACAUUUGCAACGAUGCUGCGGGCAGAGCUGCGAUGAAGAGCUAGAGUCUUUUGCACCAUCACAGCCAUGUCGUGAGUGCUCGCUUCAGGGCACCAACCGAACGGGGCUCACUCUC